AAUUAGCUCUGUCUGUUAGAUGCGACAGCAGGAACGUGGCUGAAGGUGAAAAUACGAAGGAUCCAUUCUUAGGCAUUAAGUAAAUUUUCCUCUUUAUAAAUCAGCUUUCUUCCUCCACUCCACUUGCAUUAUUCCACAGACUUCUUCUCCGGAGCUUGCAGCUUCUGUUCUGCCUGCCGUCGUCUUGGUGGCGAAGAUAUGAGACCAGGAGGCGGACCACCGCCCGGCUGGGGGCCGCCGCCGGGACCAGGCUUUCUCGGCGGUCUCUGCAACGCCAUCUCUGCUUGCCUGAGCUUCCUGUGCUGUUGCUGGUUGAUCGGGGACUGCUUUGGCGGGCCACCGGGCCCUGGAGGCCCAAUGGGCCCGCCUCCUCCGUGAUAUGGUGCUGGAGCAGUGAAUUCUGUCUCUCAUUGUGUUAUGUUUCAGUGUGUGUGUGUGAUGAUUUGUUUAAUGAAUGCGGUUGGAUGUAGUAUGAACUUGACGACAUCAUCAUGUUCUCUAUGCAUGUAGUGAUGAUUAAUUAGAUUUAGAUGGACGAUCAUGGAUCUGCCGAGCAUGAACGAAUCAAUUUCAGAUAAAAAUUUCGGAUUCACUAUAUCUUUUUAAACAAAAUAAUAUAUUCACAUAAAUAAAUCAUAAAUCGUGAUUUAUUUGGUUCUUAUUC